rnacentral:rRNA from 1 species
UACGAAGGGGGCUAGCGUUGUUCGGAAUUACUGGGCGUAAAGCGCACGUAGGCGGAUUUGUAAGUCAGGGGUGAAAUCCCGGGGCUCAACCUCGGAACUGCCUUUGAUACUGCAAGUCUCGAGUCCGAUAGAGGUGAGUGGAAUUCCUGGUGUAGCGGUGAAAUGCGUAGAGAUCAGGAGGAACACCCAUGGCGAAGGCAGCUCUCUGGUCGACCUCUGACGCUGAGGCGCGAAAGCGUGGGGAGCGAACAGGG